GGACAGCGGACACGCAGUGCCGCCGGGUCCGCGAGUUUGGGUGGAGUGAGCGGCCGCCGGCAGCCCGCGUUGGAGUAGACUGGCUGAGACCGCUGCGCGCUGGCGUGAUGUGGAGACUAGUGAUGAGGAUACCGGCCCUCCUGGCGUUAGCGGCCGUCGUUACAGCGCUCGAAGGGCCGAACGUCUGUACUAAACAGGAAACCUACGCUAAGCAGAUCCGGACGUCAUAUAUGGCGCCAUACCGAGUGCGGACAGUCACCUGGUGCCUCAAGAUCCCGCCGUUCUGCACCAAAUACAAGACGGCCUACACGCUCAAAUACAAAACAGAGGUGAAGGUGAAGACUCGCACAGUGGAGCUGUGCUGUAAGGGCUACACCGAGUCGGCCAACCGCUGCCAGGCCGUGUGCAGUCCAGAAUGUCUGCACGGCCGGUGCACCGAGCCCAACAAGUGCGUCUGUGCCUCCGGCUACGGCGGACCCACCUGCGAGCUGUCCUGUCCGGCGGGCACCUGGGGCCGCGGCUGCGCCAACGAGUGCGCCUGCAUGAACGGCGCCGCGUGCGACCCGCUGACGGGCAGCUGCACGUGCGCGCCCGGCUGGCGCGGCGCCACGUGCCAGACGCCGUGCGCGCCGCACACGUACGGCCAGGGCUGCACGGAGCCGUGUCAGUGCGCCAACGGCGGCCGCUGCGACCCGGUGUCGGGCGCGUGCGACUGCCGCGCCGGCUGGACGGGCCCGCUGUGUCUGGACAAGUGUCCGCCGGGCACACAUGGCGACGAAUGCGCCAACCGGUGCCAGUGCCAGAACGGCGGCACCUGCGACCCCGAGAACGGCAGCUGCAGGUGCCAACCCGGCUGGGAGGGCGACGUGUGCGGUAACCGCUGUCCGCGCGGCACCUGGGGCCAGGACUGCAGUCGCCGCUGCUCCUGCUACAACUCGGCUACCUGCAAUCACGUGACGGGCGUCUGCGAGUGUACCGCCGGCUACAUCGGCACUCAGUGCCAGGACCAGUGUCCGCUGGGCACCUGGGGCGUCGACUGCGUCGGCAACUGCACCUGCGUGAACGGCGCCACCUGCAACAUCGCCGACGGUAGCUGUCGGUGCGAGCUCGGCUGGAAGGGCACCAACUGCGAGCAGCGGGCCUGCGAGCCGGACCACUACGGACAGAACUGCCACGCCGUCUGCACGUGCGAGCCCAGCCAGACAGAGCUAUGUCACCCGUGGACGGGCGACUGUCAGUGCAAGCCCGGCUGGUCGGGCCGGCUGUGCGAGCGGCCGUGCCCGCCCUACCAGUACGGAGAGGACUGCCAGGGCAUCUGCAACUGCAAGAACGGCGCCUUCUGCGACCAGUUCAAUGGGACGUGCAUCUGCAGCGCAGGUUACAUCGGUGAAGACUGCAGCACCCAGUGUCCUCCCGGCAAGUACGGCCGCGGCUGUCAGCUGACGUGCUCGUGCGCCAAUAACGCCACGUGCAGCCACGAGGACGGCCGGUGCCAGUGCACGGCCGGGUGGCACGGUAUCAGCUGCAGCGCCCCCUGCCCGGCCGGGAAGUACGGCCCCGGCUGCAACACCACCUGCCAGUGCGCGACCGGCGCCGCCUGCGACCCCGUUAAUGGAACAUGUACGUGCGCUGCUGGCUACAAGGGCGAACUGUGCGACCAGAGGUGUGACGAGUUUACCGCCGGUCUCGGCUGCAAGCUGCGCUGUCCAUGCGUCAAAGAGAACAGCGAGGGCUGCGACCCGGUCAACGGUCGCUGCAUCUGCAACCCCGGCUGGCGGGGCGUGCGCUGUGAGACUCAGUGUCAGGAAGGCCGCUACGGGCCAGAGUGUAAGGACGUGUGCCACUGCAAGAACAACUCGUCCUGUGACCCCAAGUCGGGCGCGUGCACGUGUGCUCCGGGCUUCCGCGGCACGGACUGCAACGAGCCCUGCCCGGACGGCCGGUUCGGCCUGGCCUGCCUGCAGACCUGCCCCGACUGCGCCCACGGUAACGGCACCUGUGACCACGUGACCGGCCAGUGCCCGUGCGCGCCCGGCUACGCUGGGGCCCUCUGCUCGGAGGCAUGUCCCAAGAACACGUACGGCCUCAUGUGUCGCAAGACGUGCGACUGCGCCGAGCACGGAGAGUGUAACGCCGUCACAGGAGAAUGUCUGUGCUACCCGGGGUGGACGGGCGAGCGUUGCAGCGAGCAUUGUCCAGCCAACACGUACGGCAUGAACUGCGCUCAGACGUGCGACUGUCUGAACGGCGCCACGUGCCGGCCGCUCGAUGGAGCCUGCGGGUGUCCGCUGGGCUGGACCGGGAAUCGCUGUGAGGAAAUCUGCCCCGAGGGCUAUUACGGCAACCAGUGUAUGAACUCCUGCAACUGCAAGUCCAACAACUUCAUGUGCCACCCGGCCGAGGGCUGCAUCUGCAGAUACGGACAUACCGGUGAGAACUGCGAUAUCCCGAUCCGGGCCAGCCUGACCGAGUCGGCGCGCGAGGGUCCCGGCUCGGCCGGCGUCACGGCCAUAGUGGUGUCGGUGCUGCUGCUGGUGGUGGUCGUGGUGGUGCUGGUGAUUGUCUACUACCGGCGCCGGCUCUACCGACUCAAGAAGGAGCUGCACCAGGUGGUGCAGUACUUCCCCGAGGCCAAGGAGCGCACAGACCCACACCACUUCGACAACCCUGUGUACGCGUACCCGGAGAAGGCGCGUCAGGACCCGCUGCCGCUGCCGCCCAACAUCCCCGUGCAGAAGAACGACCUGGGCGGCGCCACCAAUGUCAAACAGCUGGCUCUGGAUGAGGAGGAGGGUGGAGCUGUCGGCUAUGACUCGAGCCUACUGUCCAAGAAGCUGAAGGACGCAGACUGCGGCAACCCCAACAUCUACAACAGCAUCGAGGAUCUGAAGGCGGACAACAAGAACAACAUGGAGCACGUCUACGACGAAAUAAAGGGCAUCAAGGUUCUCAAAGAGGAAGACGGCGAGUACGACCGCCUGGACCACGCGCGGGCCACCAACGACCCCAAGCCCAACUACACCAAGAUGGACGGCACGCUGCGCAAGUCCAAGUCGAAGAUCACGGACAGUGACGAGGACAAUGAGUCGACCGGCGGCUCGUAGCCACCGGCGCGGGCCUCGCUCGGUCCGCUCACAGACUCAGCACUUGGCAUGUGGAGAGCAAUAGACAGGUGCACCCCAUGCCAUCCGGAAGGAGUGCGGGGUCGUCAAUAAGACUUGCCGGCAAGCGGUCGAAAGGUGGAUCCUUGAGUGUUGCUGGCGGACCGUUUUGUGCUCAAAGACCAUAAGAAGCAUCGUCGUUGAUGAACCUUUCGCACUGGUGAGGUUCUCGUGCUUUCUGAGCUUAGUGCAGUGACGUUCUGUGGACACAUUUUAGCGGCGGUAGGGCUCGGCUCUGCACAUAUUGCUGCACGAGACGGUGAUGAGCUGGGACAGAAAUGCGAGAAUAGUGCGUUGAACUCUUGGUGUCUAGUUAGUGGAACAUGGAACAUGGAACAUAUGCAGUUGUACGAUCGAUUGGAUGCGUCUCAAGAUAAGCGGAGUUCUCAAAUGAGUAAAUGAAUUCAUGUUUGGUUCAGCUGAUUUUUUUUCAGCCCGGUGACCGCUAUUUACUGGCUUUUCAAUGAGGGUCUCAAUAUUUACACGAGGCCUUUUUAUGCGUGGAACACUUUGUUGCUAUUUCCACUCUUUUUAUAUUUUCAUUGCAAUCUGCUGUUAUACAAAGCAGGUAGUUGACACGCGCUACCACCCGAGUACACAACCUGUCACAACCGCAAGUCAUAUUUUCGGUUGGUAUACCUACCUAUAACAGGGGAAGAAAUUCCCUUGUCCCCAUAUGCUGUAGUUCGUUGCGCAUCUGGAUAUGUUCGAUUGAACACUUGGCCGGUAUGUUCCCGCUGUCGCCGGGUGCUCUGUGCUGGCGCCGACGGAGACCAGGGCUCACCGACUAUGCCGCCUGCCCUCUGUGAUAUGUGUCGCCAUUGUUACCGUUUGUAUGCGUGUGUGUCUGUGUGCUGCCCGAGGGCAUCAGUGUGACAGGUCCAUAUCAUGUAGCCGGGCUCCGCGCCAUCGGAGCCGGCCCAUCACCAUCGCUAUGCAACUUAUAUAUGCGAACUGUGUGCUGGGUUUGUUGGGGGUUCUUUGGUUCUGGGGUUUGGGAAAGGUAGUGUGCAAAUGUGAGUGACUUGUGUCGAUAUCUGCGAGAGGUUCCUCGCUAAGAUGUCCAUUCUGACGUGGACUUUGCUGUGUCUUUGCGAUGCUGAUAUGUGGGGUCAUGUGAAUUGUGUAGAAUUGCUUGAGAUUGUGAACGAGGUGUCCUGGUGUCUGCUGUAUAUGAAUAUCCAUCGUAUAAAAUGUGUUUAAACUCCCUCGGAAACUUGCCAAUCGGUGUACUGCUAAAUUCCCCCCUCCCAUCGGCUUCCUGAAGUAAAACAGCUAAAUUUCGGCUGUCGCAAACCACAGUGGGCUAAGGUAUUCCCUGUCGAAGUCUUAUUUGCUACCAAAAAGGUGUAAUUUGUUUCCCUUCAAUCGUUUAAAAUUCUUAACAUGAUGCAAGUACCUAAACUAGAUGUCUACCAUGAAACAUCUAAAAUGUAAUAUGUAAAAUUAUCGUAGGCAUGAGCGUGAUUAUAACGCUGGGAGAAACCAGCCAGUCUCAGAUCUAGGGAUCGGGCAUCUUAAGCCUUUGUGUGUAGUCGUUACCAGGAAUUGAUUUUUUAAGUUUUUCUUGAAAAUUUAUUCGUGACUACAAGCGAUAUGCUUUUGAUUUGUUCCGUCAUAUACUAUUUGCAUUUUUUUUUUGCAAAAAUGCUUACCAACUAAGUCGUAAAAACAUGCUUCAUUGCGCAUUCGUUAUCUUCGUGUCCAAUUCGUAGCAAAUCAGCAGUCCCGCUACUCAUUUCAAAGUUACCUCCUGACUCGGAUGGACUCCAAAAUCCCAUUUAGUGUUGUAUGCCGGCUGUUAUUAGUCGUUAAGGUAAUGUACGAUUGUGAUUCACGUUGACUUAUUCAAUAGGGCAACACAGUAUGUUUACGAUAACUGUAAUCAACUUGCAUGUUGUUUGUUUAUCGAGUUUUCACCCGCCAUUCUUUUGUAUGAAAGAACGGAUAUGCAAUUUGUAUGCACAAAAACAGGGAUAGAUUGUGUAAUUUUGCAUUCCUGUUCACAACUAUAGAUAGUGUAUUAUUGUGUAAAUAUAUCUGUUUUGCAACAG
rnacentral:misc_RNA from 1 species